rnacentral:lncRNA from 10 species
CUCUUCCCUGGGUGGGGCUUUUAGUGUGGUAAUGAGGAGAGCUUGCCAAAGUUCAUCUUCAAUUCAGGCAUCUUUGGAUCCAACUAGUUUUUAUUUUAUUUAUUCAGGGCUGAGAUUCUUCCUGUAACUUUUCUAAAACAUCAAGAACUGGAGGUGCAACAGUUACAACUCAUUCCAAUAUUUGUGCCAGCUAUGGAUCAGUUUCAAUUGAUUGACUUUCUCUCUCAUUAUGGGUCCCCACAGUUCUCUUCUUCCGUGACAAGACCAAAGAACCUGGAUGAUGCUAAUCUAGAAGGACAUUCACAGCUCAUGAAAGAAUCAUCACUGCUAAUCAAAUCAGAGAGAAAACCCACCACUCUGCACCACUGGAGACAUUUCAUGUACUGAAUAUUUCAUAAGAUGGGGGCUGUAACUGAAGCAGAAAUUCUCAACAGCUUCAGGUUGCGUGCAAAUAUUUACUUAAACAUUCCAGCACAGUCCAACUGGUGUGCAGCACCAGCACCAGUGAGCCUGGAGUGAUCUUUAUAAAUUAUGGUAAUUAUAUGUGACAUGAUUCUUGCUAGGUCACAGGAGCUUGCCUUGGUCUUUCCCGCUUUGCCAGUAGUUCCCCUACUUGAAUGAUUAAGUGGGCAGGAUGCCACAGGAAACCGGAUGCAAGCACAAUGACAAAUGUCUGCUUUGACUGCUUAAAAUUGAGCCCAAUUGUUGAUCUGCAGAAACAACAAAACACAAUCAAGGACUGACACCAAGCCCCUGAGUCAGGAGAAUUGAAGAAUUGGUGUAGGGAUACGACUUGAAAGUCUUGGAAAAGGCUGCGUCAGUUUGUCAAAAUUUGCACCACCACUUUUCAUUACAUUUACACACAGUGCCCUGCUAUAGUUUUCUUUACAUUUAAAGAACAUUUUGGCAUCUACCAUCAUACAGAAUAAAAAUGUCAACGAUUCAAAGAAAACAAAAUAAUCAUUUUUAUUGUUUUCAAAGAUGAUUCUUGCAGUCUCCUGAUGAGUACUAGGAAUUUUUGGUGUAAAUAAAGAUUAAAAUAUCAAGAAUUAAGUAAGAAUAAGCUUAAGUAAUGAAAUUGCUUGGUUAAGUAAUGUAGGACAGUUGUAAAAGUUUGAUCAUAAGAAAUUCAUUUGCAGGAAUAGUGACCAAUAAGUCUAUACUUUAUGGUUAAACUUUGACAGUGAACUAUAUACUUCUUGAUAUCUUCUUAUAUUUCAUUAUUUUCUUUUUGAGAUGAUCGUGGUGAUUUCCUCUACUCUCAGAUUAUCCAGCUAAAGUUAUCUACAAGUUUUUUUUAACUGUUUAUACAUAUUAAGUGGAGUUUUUUUUUUUUUUUUUUUUUUUUUUUUUGAGGCAGAAUUUCACUCUGUCACCAGGCUGGAGUGCAAUGGUGUGAUCUCGGCUCACUGCAACCUCUGCCUCCCAGGUUCAAGUGAUUCUCCUGCUUCAGCCUCCUGAGUAGCUGGGACUACAGGUGCACGACACUAUGCCCAGCUGGUUUUCGUAUUUUUAGUAGAGACGAGAUUUCACCAUGUUGGCCAGGAUAGUCUCAAUCUCUUGACCUCAUAAUCUGCCUGCCUUGGCCUCCAAAAGUGCUGGGAUUACAGACGUGAACCACCGCGCCCGGCCAAGUGGAGUUUCUUUUAACAUUUGUAUACAUCUUAAUGUCUUGGAAUUUAAGUGCUCUUUUUUGGAGUCCAGCCUAGAAAUAGGCUUCCAAGUAUUAGUUAGAAGAAGGACUGAUGAGUCAAUGGUAAAAAGGAAGGAAAAUAAUAUAGCAAAUGGUUUACUUCCUUAAAAAUCAGGGGUAUAACAAAUAGGGCAAGAUAAUAGAGUGUUUGAUAUAUAAGCAAAAUUAAAAUUUUAUUUAAUGUUGCUAUAUAUAAAAUACCCACAAAUAUAUAAGUGAAAACGUUAGUAAUUCUCAAUACUGGUAUUUAUUCAAUUGAUUAGAAUGAUAGUAGAAACUAAAGAGAUAGCAAUAACAUUGAAAUUAAUUGGUGGAAAAUUAAAAUCAAGCUAUCAAAUUUAUGAUGUG